rnacentral:rRNA from 12 species
AAAACGACUCUCGGCAACGGAUAUCUCGGCUCUCGCAUCGAUGAAGAACGUAGCAAACUGCGAUACUUGGUGUGAAUUGCAGAAUCCCGUGAACCAUCGAGUCUUUGAACGCAAGUUGCGCCCGAAGCCAUCCGGCCGAGGGCACGUCUGCCUGGGCGUCACG